CAGCAGUAGGGAAUUUUCCGCAAUGAGCGAAAGCUUGACGGAGCGACACAGCGUGCAGGAUGAAGGUCUUCGGAUUGUAAACUGCUGUUGUAAGGGAAGAAAAAAUUUAAUAGGAAAUGAUUAAAUCUUGACAGUACCUUAUUAGAAAGUGACGGCUAACUAUGUGCCAGCAGCCGCGGUAAUACAUAGGUCACAAGCGUUAUCCGGAAUUAUUGGGCGUAAAGCGUUCGUAGGCGGUUUGUCAAGUCUAGAGUUAAAGCCUGAGGCUCAACCUCAGCCCGCUUUGGAUACUGACUGACUAGAGUUACAUAGAGGUAAACGGAAUUCUUAGUGAAGCGGUGGAAUGCGUAGAUAUUAGGAAGAACACCAAUGGCGAAGGCAGUUUACUGGAUGUAUACUGACGCUCAGGGACGAAAGCGUGGGGAGCAAACAGGAUUAGA
rnacentral:rRNA from 1 species